CUGCACUGUUGUCGCGGGAAAAAUGGCGGAAAUGUGAGUGGUCGCUUCACCACAAAUAACGAGUAAAAACAUUACGUUAUAACCUCAUUUGGACGGUUUCCAUAAUGUGUGUAUCUACUCCAGCCUGCUUUUGAGGUGAUAACAGACAAUGCAAGAUGCCAAACGAUUCUGCGCACCAUGCUUUUAGCAACAUGACUCCAAGCAAAGCCUCUCCUCAAGACACUGCUACAUCUUACAACUGCAGUCACUGUGUUCUUAUCUUCAAAACCAGGAUCUAUCUGUAUGAACAUCUCCACCAGGUGCAUGGCCUUUCUGUUGAUUCAGCACUCAGAGACUCUGGCCUCAAAUCUGUGCCACAAAGCAAAUCCAAGCCUGAUACUGGCCUUAAACUAGGUAAAAACAAGUUGGACCAUAGUCUUAAACUAGGUAAAUCCAAGCUUAACAAAAGUCAUAAACGAAAAAAGACUGAUUUUGCUUUCAAU
ensembl:lncRNA